rfam:Hordeum vulgare subsp. vulgare, WGS project CAJW01000000 data, contig: morex_contig_141139
AUAAUACUCCCUCCGUCCGGAAAUACUGGUCCUAAAUGAAUAUAAUGGAUAUAUCUAUAACUAAAAUAACUCUAGAACAUUCAUCUUUAGGACAAGUAUUUCCGGACGGAGGGAAUACCAU